rnacentral:rRNA from 1 species
AGAGUGAACGCUGGCGGUAGGCCUAACACAUGCAAGUCGAACGGCAGCACGGUAAGAGCUUGCUCUUAUGGGUGGCGAGUGGCGGACGGGUGAGGAAUACAUCGGAAUCUACCUUUUGGUGGGGGAUAACGUAGGGAAACUUACGCUAAUACCGCAUACGCCCUUCGGGGGAAAGCCGGGGACCAGCAAUGGCCUGGUGCUGAUAGAUGAGCCGAUGUCGGAUUAGCUAGUUGGUGAGGUAAUGGCUCACCAAGGCGACGAUCCGUAGCUGGUCUGAGAGGAUGAUCAGCCACACUGGAACUGAAGACACGGUCCAGACUCCGUACGGGAGGCAGCAGUGGGGAAUAGUU